rnacentral:lncRNA from 1 species
UCGUGUUUCGGCAGUUAAGCUUGGGAUGGUCAUUUUAAGAUGCAUUAUUUGAAUAUAAUCAAAUAUGAAAAUUAUUCAUGUUUAUAUUGAUAUAUCUAUAUUUUAAUUCUUCUUCAAUAUAUCUAGUUAUUAUGACAGAUCUGCCAUCAUCAGGGGUCCAACUGUCAAUUUUAUGUUAAAGUCUUUAACUUUGAUCUACUAAGCAUAUCUCCAAUACUUUUAUGUUUGCUAUACGCAACUAUUGGUGCUGUAUUGAAUAUUUGUACACAGUCUUCGUCGAACUGUAAUAAAUGCCAGUGUUUCAUUAUACGUUUCUUUAUUUUACGUAUAUAUGGAUUAUAUUUAGUUAUUAAAACUAACGGAAUACUUUGCUUCUCUUUAGAUUUG